UAUAUCGACACGGAUGGCGACUGGAAAACUGCAGCGUGCAACAACACAUAUUAUUCCCUCUGCAAACGAUCCAAAGUUGUUGCCCCCACAGAUUCCCCUCAGCUGCCGGGUAACUGCCCCGAAUCAGAUCAGCGACGAGGUUGGAUUCCGUUCAGAGGACACUGCUAUACAUUCAUGAGCUCUCGGAGAGAAAACUGGGCUCAUGCCACAGUGGAAUGUCUGAGAAUGGGUGCAUCUUUAUUGAGUAUUGAGGACCCAAUAGAAUCAAAGUUUAUCCGUCAGAAUCUGGAGAUCCUUCAAGAUGAAGUCGACUCAGUCUGGAUCGGAAUGCACCGCAGUCAUACGGGUGAAUGGAUGUGGAUUGAUAGUGC